AGUAACGGYGAGUGAAGCGGCAACAGCUCAAAUUUGAAAGCUGGCCUUCGGGUCCGCGUUGUAAUUUGUAGAGGAUGCUUUUGGUUAGGUGCCUUACGAGUUCCCUGGAACGGGACGCCUUAGAGGGUGAGAGCCCCGUACGUUUGGUUACCGAGCCUCUGUAAAGCUCCUUCGACGAGUCGAGUAGUUUGGGAAUGCUGCUCUAAAUGGGAGGUAAAUUUCUUCUAAAGCUAAAUACCGGCCAGAGACCGAUAGCGCACAAGUAGAGUGAUCGAAAGAUGAAAAGCACUUUGAAAAGAGGGUUAAAUAGCACGUGAAAUUGUUGAAAGGGAAGCGUUUAUGACCAGACUUUUUCCUAGCGGAUCAUCCGGCGUUCUCGCCGGUGCACUUCGCUAGGUUUAGGCCAGCAUCGGUUUUCGCAGGGGGAUAAAAGCAGUGGUAAUGUGGCUCCCUCCGGGGAGUGUUAUAGACCGCUGUAUAAUACC
rnacentral:rRNA from 1 species